CCCGCCCCCUUCCACCGGCCGCGGGAAAUCAAACGGGCUGGUGGCGCCCCAACCGCCACCUGGCCUCAGCGCGAAGGGCGGGGUAGGGUGGGCAGCUCCAAGGUUGCCCCUAACGACCUGAGUCGGGCCGGGACUCAGCAGUCUCCGUCUGGCCUCGAGCGCACGAAUCACCUCCACCCUCGAGACCGCCCUGGCUCGUAUGCUGCUUGGGUGUGAAUGCCUUCCCCCUGCCUGCCCCCACCCUCUCUCUAGAGGAUGCCUACAGAGCCCCGACUGCGGUAUUUGCCUGCUGCAAGCUGGAAGACACAGAACGACUUUCCUAGCUCACGGUUGCUUUCACAAGCCGGGGACUCUCACCUUUUGUUUUUAAGAACUCCCAGACCCUUCCUUGCCCUGUUCAGAGCUGGUCCUUCUUCAGAAAUCCUCAGCUUUGAUGCCUCCACUGCUAAAAGACCUGCCAGGCUUCCAGGCUGGCUUUGGCUCCAUUGUGGUGCUCACUCAAACCCACAUUCCCUGUGAUGGGCUGCAUCACACUUUUCUGCAAUUGCCUGGCUAGCUUUGAAUUCUCCCGACUGGCCAUAUGGCCUGACACAGAGCAAGCCUUCUGUGACCACCUGGAGAGUGAAUGAAUGAGCAAAUGAAUCAUCAUAGUCAACACUA